rnacentral:misc_RNA from 1 species
GAAAGUGUGAUAAGGAGUGAGAGGAAAAGGAGAGGCUUAAGACGUAUUACGGAAUUUAUAAGUUUUGGGUAGCAAGGGAGUAUGAUGAUAAACAGGAUUGAACCUAUAGCUGAUCUAAUUAAUUUGGAUGAAGGCAAUUGUUGUUUAUAUUGGCAUUUUUCAGGGUUUUUAUGCAACUUCACUCCAAACUAAUAGCAGCUGCGUUUACUGAAACCAAUGUGAGGAUGAAAAGAUCCGUGUAUCCCUCUACUGAACUUCUAUCGUAGUUAAAUACAAUAAGCAUACAAGAGAUAACUGGAAUGGAAACUUCAUCGAGAAUGAAAAAUAAAGGGGUACAUUAAACAUCAAGUUAGUGAUCUGUUUUGUCAAAUGUUGUUGCACAUUGCUGUAAAUCAGCCACCGAGAACGAUCGCCAAGGUGAAAAUGUUUCCUGCGGAGAUGGCAACGAAGCUAGAUUAUUAUGAGAAGUCCUGGAUCGUGGAUGUAGAGGUGGAAGUUGCGGUGGAGACUUGGAGCUAGAAGUGGAAUCCUCACUUGUGCUACUGAUACUCUCAGAGCUGCUCAUGGCAACUGCUAGAGCCAAUGUGCUUCGGCUUAAGCUAAUUGGUCUCUUGGAUAUCCCACCCCCAUUACUUCGAUGAGGGAAACAUCUAUUCUUGUCCCACACGUGACUGAGGGCAAGUAAACUUUUGCGUCUCUUUGAGUAUGCAUUCUCUGGUUUUGCAAUAUCUUUAAUGGAGGAGGACGAGGAUACCUCUGCCAGACUCGUGAAGGACUUUGAUUUACCAUUGUAAAAUUUCGAUAUGCCUCUCCUUAUGGGUAAAGCCUCCUCCAAGGAAUCCAUAGAAUCAAACGUCCCUUUGUACGCGCUUUGCACUUCAUUUUCCUCCUCACAAUUCUCGCCAUCCAACGACUCUCUCCCCGAUAGAUCGCUAUUCUUUCCAAUGGACGACGUCGUCGAGGACGCCGAUGAGCUACAUUGAUUCACUUCCACCCUCUCCUCCUCACCCUCCUCCUUAUCAACCAAUCCACUCUCCGCUGGCGACUCGAAGAUCCCGGGCUUGGCGAUGCACGCGAUCCCUCCGCGCGCAUAUCCGGAACGUUGGAUCUCUCUCAUCCUCUACUAAUCUCCAAAGCUGAAGACAUAUCUUUGCUUGAGAUUUGAAAUACGAAACCAAAGACAAGAAAUUGGAAGAUCUUGUCCUUCAAGAAAUGGAUUACAGAUUACAGAUUACAAAAGAAAACAGAAAUGGCGGAACUCCCAUUCGUUGAUUUCUCAUAAAUAUCAAACACCCAGUUGGUUAGAGAGAUAAAAUAAAAUAAAAUAAUAGAAUUUUGAUGAUUAAUAAAUAGAGAGAGAGAGAGUAAGGCUUAU